rnacentral:rRNA from 1 species
CAGUAGCCGCGGUAAUACAGAGGGUGCGAGCGUUAAUCGGAUUUACUGGGCGUAAAGCGCACGCAGGCGGUCUGACAAGUCAGAUGUGAAAUCCCCGGGCUUAACCUGGGAACUGCAUUUGAAACUGUCAGGCUGGAGUCUUGUAGAGGGGGGUAGAAUUCCAGGUGUAGCGGUGAAAUGCGUAGAGAUCUGGAGGAAUACCGGUGGCGAAGGCGGCCCCCUGGACAAAGACUGACGCUCAGGUGCGAAAGCGUGGGGAGCAAACAGGAUUAGAUACCCCUGUAGUCCCUGUCUCUUAUAC